rnacentral:lncRNA from 1 species
UUUUUUUUAAAAAAAAAGAUAUUACAAAGGAAAAGAUUAUUAAAAACUGCAGGUUUAGCUGAUAAGAACACAAGGACCAAUAAAAUGGAGUUUUCUAAUGCUUCAAACAGAUAUUGUGUAUGUGUAUGAGUGAGCACAUGUUUUCGUACAUAUUUUGGUAAGUUUGAGGCUAAGUGUGUCUUGUAGGAUUGCUGAGGGAUUGAGAGGGAGAAAACGUAUGUGAAAACAUCUGCCAUCAUACUUGAUAUAUAGUAAAGGAUUAAUAAUAGAAGCCAAUUUCUGGUGUUGGUCAUUAGGAGCAAAACUUUCCAUUUUGACUCAUCUUCUUUCUACUCUAAAGUUGGAUGAACAAAACCUAUAAAAUAAUAUUAGAGGAGAAAAAAAAUGGGAUGCUAGAUUUCUUGCUGCUUGCUUCCAAGAAACCUUAAAUCUCAGAAGAGAGGAUGGUGAUAGUGUGGUUAUUGUUGUUGUGUGUGUUAUAGGAAACCAGUUGUUUGUAUUAUUGGGGGAGAAAGGCUAGAUUGGGCAGUGGCCUGAGAGGAUAAGUAAUAUGAGAACA